GUUUUAAACAUGAAACCGCGGAAAGCUCAUUAUAACAGCUAUAGACUACACGGUAAAUAUUUUAGUUGGAUAACUGAGGUAAUUCUUGAGCUAAUACACGCUAUUUAUACCACAUUAGUGGUGCGUUUAUUUGAUUAAACCAUUUUAUAUUGGUUGACUCAAAAUAUCCUCGCUGAUUUUGUUACUAAAACAUACCGUAUGUGUAUCUGGUUUAUCAACUUUCGAUGGUAGGGUAUUGGCCUACCAUGGUUGUGACGGAUAACGGAGAAUUAGGGUUCGACUCCGGAGAGGGAGCCUGAGAAACGGCUACCACAUCCAAGGAAGGCAGCAGG
rnacentral:rRNA from 2 species